rnacentral:lncRNA from 1 species
UCUGGCGUAAUUAUGGGCUCAGAAUGGGGGAAUGUGAGGUGAUUGGUCCAUGGACAGGCCUGGAAAAAGCCCCAUUUGAUUGGCUAAAAGGCAUCGAAGAAGUUCUCACUCUGAUCAUGGACUCUACCUGGACUGCCAACCCUGUUUUCAGGCUUUAAAUUGUCCUUGGUUUGAAGGUUGAGUUUUACUGGGGACCUGUCCCUGUCUGCCUAGGAAUUUUUCUCCCUCCUGCUGCUAUCAAUCUCCGCUCUGAAAAGGUAUGUUGGAGCAAAUUAGUGUUUAAACACCUGUUCAGAAGAAUUAACAGAUUGCAGUAUAGCAUGAAUACUAUCCCUCUGGUCAUUACUUAUUCUGGCACAUAGGCAUGUCUAUAAGGACACUUGAAGCUCAUUACACGUGGUACUCUAUGGAAGGAAGUGUCAAUGCUGUGGAAAACAACUCCGAUAGAGAGAACAUCAUGAGAGCUUGGAAUGAUUACAUCAUUGGCAAUGCCAUCAUUGUUAUAGAAAAGCCAUGAAAGCCAUCAAGCCUGAAACAACAAAUUCCUUCUGGAGAAUACUGUGUAUAGAUGUGCAUGGCUUCACAGGAUUUAUGACUGAGCCAAUCAACGAAAUCAUAAAAGAAGUUGUGCAUAUGGCAAAAAUAAAAAGGUGGGGGUAAAGGGUUUCAAGAUAUGGGUCUUGGAUUAAUUCAGGACCUAAUAAACGCCACACCAGAGAAAUUCACAAUGGAUGACUUGAUGGAGAUGAGUGCUUUCAAACCAGUGCCAGAUGAUGAGGAGGAAGGCAUAGAAGAUGCAGGGCCAGGAAACAAGUUGACUUUAGACACUCUGGGAGGAGGGAUCCAGUUAUUCAAGAAUGCUUUUGACUUCUUUCAUAUGACAUGGACCCUUCUACAAUACAGGCAAUAAGAUUAAAGCAAAUGAUAAAGAAGAAUUAGUACUGUAUAAAAACAUUUUUAGAGAAAUGAGAAGACAGGAAUUCAGAUAGAAAUUAUGAUGUAUUUCUGUAAAGUUACACUGAGUGUGCCUGCUUCUUCUGACUCCUCUUCCAUCUCCUCCAUAUCUUCCACCUCUAUCACCCCUGAGACAACAAGACCAACCCCUCGUCUUCCUCCUCCUCAGCUUAGUUGAUGCGAAAACAACAAGGAUAAAGAUCUUUAUGAUGAUCCACUUCCAC